AGUGAACGCUGGCGGUAGGCCUAACACAUGCAAGUCGAACGGCAGCACAGUAAGAGCUUGCUCUUACGGGUGGCGAGUGGCGGACGGGUGAGGAAUACAUCGGAAUCUACUUUUUCGUGGGGGAUAACGCAGGGAAACUUACGCUAAUACCGCAUACGACCUACGGGUGAAAGCAGGGGAUCUUCGGACCUUGCGCGAUUGAAUGAGCCGAUGUCGGAUUAGCUAGUUGGCGGGGUAAAGGCCCACCAAGGCGACGAUCCGUAGCUGGUCUGAGAGGAUGAUCAGCCACACUGGAACUGAGACACGGUCCAGACUCCUACGGGAGGCAGCAGUGGGGAAUAUUGGACAAUGGGAGCAAGCCUGAUCCAGCCAUACCGCGUGGGUGAAGAAGGCCUUCGGGUUGUAAAGCCCUUUUGUUGGGAAAGAAAAGCAGCAGGUUAAUACCCCGCUGUUCUGACGGUACCCAAAGAAUAAGCACCGGCUAACUUCGUG
rnacentral:rRNA from 1 species